CCGAGUUUACAACUCCCAAACCCCUGUGAACAUACCACUUGUUGCCUCGGCGGAUCAGCCCGCUCCCGGUAAAACGGGACGGCCCGCCAGAGGACCCCUAAACUCUGUUUCUAUAUGUAACUUCUGAGUAGAACCAUAAAUAAAUCA
rnacentral:misc_RNA from 1 species